rnacentral:rRNA from 1 species
UCCUACGGGAGGCAGCAGUGAGGAAUAUUGGUCAAUGGACGAGAGUCUGAACCAGCCAAGUAGCGUGCAGGAUGACGGCCCUAUGGGUUGUAAAACUGCUUUUAUAAGGGAAUAAAGUGAGAGUCGUGACUCUUUUUGCAUGUACCUUAUGAAUAAGGACCGGCUAAUUCCGUGC